rnacentral:snoRNA from 1 species
ACGGCAUGAUGGGGACAUCAACUGAUGAGAUCCUUUAAUCUCUCCCAUGACUCAUGGAAUUUCUCACCAUCUUGUUGCGAAAAGCUAGUAAGAGCUCGUCUUAUCU